rnacentral:rRNA from 1 species
UACGUAGGGUGCAAGCGUUGUCCGGAAUUAUUGGGCGUAAAGAGCUCGUAGGCGGUUCGUCGCGUCGGCUGUGAAAUCCCGAGGCUCAACCUCGGGUCUGCAGUCGAUACGGGCGGACUGGAGUUCGGCAGGGGAGACUGGAAUUCCUGGUGUAGCGGUGAAAUGCGUAGAUAUCUGGAGGAACACCGGUGGCGAAGGCGGCAUUCUGGACCGAUAUUGACGCUGAGGAGCGAAAGCCAGGGGAGCAAACGGG